rnacentral:rRNA from 1 species
GUGGGGAAUAUUGGGCAAUGGGCGAAAGCCUGACCCAGCAACGCCGCGUGAAGGAAGAAGGUCUUCGGAUCGUAAACUUCUAUCCUUGGUGAAGAUAAUGACGGUAGCCGAGAAGGAAGCCCCGGCUAACUACGUGCCAGCAGCCGCGGUAAUACGUAGGGGGCAAGCGUUGUCCGGAAUGAUUGGGCGUAAAGGGCGCGUAGGCGGCCUGGUAAGUCUGGAGUGAAAGUCCUGCUUUUAAGGUGGGAAUUGGUUUGGAUACUGUCGGGCGUGAGUGCAGGAGAGGUAAGUGGAAUUCCCGGUGUAGCGGUGAAAUGCGUAGAGAUCGGGAGGAACACCAGUGGCGAAGGCGACUUACUGGACUGUAACUGACGCUGAGGCGCGAAAGUGUGGGGAGCGAACAGGAUUAGAAACCCUUGUAGUCC